CGGGUACAUGUCCUACAGAUCAGUUAGGUUAAGAUAAAAUAUUAUUUUAUAUUAUAUUGAUUUUGCUUUGCCUUUGCUAAUUUAUAGAAAUAAAAUACAGUGCAUACAAAAGUCUAACCGUUGGAAAUUCCCUUUGUUUAACAGGAGUGUUUGAAGGAGUGGCUCUUCCGUUACUCAGGAAACAAAAGAGCAGUUUUAGACUUACAGGAACUCAGAGUCUGAACCGACUACUGCGGGAGCUGUGUAAGGAAAAUACACCUUUUCACCUAGAAGUUGAGUACAUCUUGAUUUAGAACAGAACAAGAAACAUUGAAGAUGCCUGUUCGUAGUUUUCAUAGUGAACCUCUGGAAAACCCAGAGGUUCUCUAUGAAGACAGAAAACAAACUGGUGUAAGAUGCAACCUCAUUUUCUUCACCAAAUCUGGAGCACACUACAGGGCUGCAAUAGAAGAAGCUUACCCUCAAUCCAAGGCUAUUCGAAUGGACAACAAACUCAAACUUGAGCUCUCUGAUGGAGGCACUGUGUCUAUAUUUGACAGUGGAAUCAUUGUGAUUCAAGGAGUGUUUGAAGGAGUGGCUCUUCCGUUACUCGGGAAACAAAAGAGCAGUUUUAGACUUACAGGAACUCAGAGUCUGAACCGACUACUGCGGGAGCUGUGUAAGGAAAAUACACCUUUUCACCUAGAAGUUGAGUACAUCUUGAUUUAGAACAGAACAAGAAACAUUGAAGAUGCCUGUUCGUAGUUUUCAUAGUGAACCUCUGGAAAACCCAGAGGUUCUCUAUGAAGACAGAAAACAAACUGGUGUAAGAUGCAACCUCAUUUUCUUCACCAAAUCUGGAGCACACUACAGGGCUGCAAUAGAAGAAGCUUACCCUCAAUCCAAGGCUAUUCGAAUGGACAACAAACUCAAACUUGAGCUUUCUGAUGGAGGCACUGUGUCUAUAUUUGACAGUGGAAUCAUUGUGAUUCAAGUCUGUAGGUUUGAAGAAUUAUAGUUUUGUACCCACUGAGGUCCGUCUCAUAUCUGAAGGAGUGUUUGAAGGAGUGGCUCUUCCGUUACUCGGGAAACAAAAGAGCAGUUUUAGACUUACAGGAACUCAGAGUCUGAACCGACUACUGCAGGAGCUGUGUAAGGAAAAUACACCUUUUCACCUAGAAGUUGAGUACAUCUUGAUUUAGAACAGAACAAGAAACAUUGAAGAUGCCUGUUCGUAGUUUUCAUAGUGAACCUCUGGAAAACCCAGAGGUUCUCUAUGAAGACAGAAAACAAACUGGUGUAAGAUGCAACCUCAUUUUCUUCACCAAAUCUGGAGCACACUACAGGGCUGCAAUAGAAGAAGCUUACCCUCAAUCCAAGGCUAUUCGAAUGGACAACAAACUCAAACUUGAGCUCUCUGAUGGAGGCACUGUGUCUAUAUUUGACAGUGGAAUCAUUGUGAUUCAAGGUACAGAAGAAAUCCUUGAUGCAUUUGAGAACAGGUUUGACACAAUUAAACAAAGAGUAAACAGCAAAAGAUAAGAACAGGUGUGGAAAACAUUGGAGCAAUUGAAAGUCAAAGAACCUGAUUCUGAAACAGAAGAUCAGGACAAACAGAAACAGUCUAAAUAAAAUGUGAUACAAAUAAGAAAAAGCAGGAAACAGCAGAAACAAUACAUUAAUAAGUGAAUA